rnacentral:rRNA from 1 species
GCGGCCGUAGCGCGGUGGUCCCACCUGACCCCAUGCCGAACUCAGAAGUGAAACGCCGUAGCGCCGAUGGUAGUGUGGGGUUUCCCCAUGCGAGAGUAGGGAACUGCCA